CAUAUAGAGAGAGAGUUGCGACAACUCCAUAGACUCCAAUGGAACGGUUUUUUACAGCAAUGGCGGCUCGUGGAGCCUCUCAAUAGUUCCCGGAAGUAGCAGCCGCGCCGUAGAGUUACAGCAGAACAGACCGUUUGUGAUGUACUUUUAAAAGCACAAAGGGGAUUCAGAUCCUGAAGACUCCAUGCAAUGAUGCUGUCACCGCCAGUCUCUGCUCCUUGGAUUUUGCAAGCUUUUCCUUGCUCCUUAUUUUUAAUAAACCUUUAAUAAACAUAAAA